rnacentral:piRNA from 1 species
UGCCCAGCGUGUCGGAGCAGCUGAGG